AAUAAAUACAGUUUUGUACUACUCAUAUUCAACGUUUAACUAUCCUCUUAUUUGAAAAUAUUUUACGAUUAGUAUUUUUAUUGCUGUUAGAUGAUAUAAUACUUUAUGUGUGACUUUUUUUAAUUUUUUAAUAAUUUUUUUAAAUAAAACGGAUGGUCAAACGUUGAACACGAAUAAUCAUGACUGCGCUUAUU
rfam:Oryza punctata chromosome 9, whole genome shotgun sequence.